rnacentral:tRNA from 1 species
GAGGGUAGAGCUCAGAGAUAGAGCGCGUACUCAGCAAGCAUGAGGUCCUGGGUUCAAUCCCUAGUACCUCCU